CAGAGCCUGCAAAAGACCAGCAACAGAAGGCAGCUCAACACCACACAGAGGAACAAAGCAAGGUGCCCCCAGAGCAGAAGGGAAAGGCGGGCUCUACCUCAUGGACCGGGUUCCAGACCAAGGCUGAAGUGGAGCAGGUGGAGCUGCCUGAUGGAAAGAAGAGAAGAAAGGUCCUGGCGCUCCCCUCACACCAAGGCCCCAAAAUCAGGUUGCGGGACAAAGGCAAAGUGAAGCCCGUCCAUCCCAAAAAGCCAAAGCCCCAGAUAAACCAGUGGAAGCAGGAGAAACAGCAAUUAUCUUCCGAGCAGGUGAGUUCUGCUAGGUCGUAGCCAUGUUUGUACCUUGGUUAGUUGAGCAAAAAA
rnacentral:sRNA from 1 species